rnacentral:ncRNA from 1 species
UGGUCCUAGCCUUGAAACCAAUUAUUACUUGAUAUACACAUGCAAGUCUCCGCACCCCUGUGAAAACGCCCUUAAAUCCCUUAUAGGGAUAAGGAGCUGGUAUCAGGCACAAAAACAUGCCCAAGACACCUAGCUAUGCCACACCCACAAGGGAAUUCAGCAGUGAUUAACAUUGAACAUAAGCGACAGCUUGAUUCAGUUAAAGUAAAGAGAGCCGGCAAAUCUGGUGCCAGCCGCCGCGGUUACACCACGUGGCUCAAAUUGACUUCUAUCGGCGUAAAGCGUGAUUUAAGUUAACAUCACAUUAGGAUUAAACUAAAACUAAGCUGUGACACGCUUGUUAUAUAAGAAACCCAAAAACGAAAGUUAUUCUAAAUUAAUCAACUUGAACUCACGACAGCCAGGACACAAACUGGGAUUAGAUACCCCACUAUGCCUCGCCGUAAACUUUUAAUUACACCUCAAUCGCCCGGGAACUACAAGCAAAGCUUAAAACCCAAAGGACUUGACGGUACCCCAUAUCCCCCUAGAGGAGCCUGUCCUAUAAUCGAUAACCCCCGCUUAACCUCACCAUCUUUAGUUUAUCAGCCUGUAUACCUCCGUCGUCAGCUUACCACGUGAGCGAAACUUAGUGAGCUUAAUGCCCAUACACCAAUACGUCAGGUCAAGGUGCAGCAAAUGAAAUGGGAAGAGAUGGGCUACACUUUCUAGUAUAGAAAAUACGAAAGACUACCUAUGAAACUUAGUCAGAAGGCGGAUUUAGCAGUAAAAAGAAACCAGAGCGUUCUUUUUAACUUGGCACUGGGGUGUGUACACACCGCCCGUCACCCUCUUCAAAGCCAAAAAUUAGUACUUAACCAACUAACGCAUAACAGAAGAGGCAAGUCGUAACAUGGUAAGUAUACCGGAAGGUGUGCUUGGAAA